AAGGGCUGAAAGAUCCAUCUCCCUCUUGAAGCUGGAUGGAUGAACUGAAGCAGCAGACAGAGCCUGGAGGGAGAAAGGAAAGAACUGGUCUUUAAAAUGAAAUAUUUAAAAUACUGCAUAAUCACAAGUUGCUAGAUCUUGUAAGCUUUGCAAAAUAAGUCCAUCUGCAUGUACUGGCCUUCUAUAAUGCUGAAGAAAGCUAAUAUUCUCAGAUCCAGGUUUUUUUAAGUCUUCUUCUGCCAUCAAAAAAGCUAAUAACAGCUAUCAGAAUAUUAGUUAAGAAUAAUUCUGUGCAUCACUGUUUUCCAGAAUAAAGCUGAAAAAAACAGUAGUUCUGAAGGGUAUGGACCUCAUCACCUACCACAAUAAAAGGCUCACUCGGAAACCUACUGACAUCACCUCUGACACCUAGUUUGCUCCUGGGUUGUUUUUGUUUCAUUUUUGUUUGUUUAUUUGUUUGUCUGUCUGUUGGGUUGGUUGGUUGCUUUUUGGCUUGUUUGUUUUUGUUUCUUUUUGCUUGUUUGUGUGUUUUUGUUGCUGUAAAUGCCAUGAAAUCCUUUAUUUUCUGUCUGAGGCUUGUUGCAGCUACUCAUUUCCAUCUGUUGAAACUCCUUGGUUUCUACCAUCCUGUUAAAGUUCAGUGUUACCACACUGAAAAAAAAAUAUAUAUAGUGUUUUAUCAAAAAUGUAGGGGCUAGGUGUACCAUUUAUUUUGCCGGGGUCUCAUAGUGCCACUUUUAUGUAUGUCCCAAAGACUUCAUGAGGUCUUUUCCUAUUAUGACUAACAAACAGAAUCUCUCAUAUAUUAAAUUAACUUGAAUGCAAAUGUAACUCUCUUCUUCUUUUUUUUUUAACUUCUCCUUUUUUUCUUUUCUCAAAGCAUUCAUAAGUUAUCAUAAUCAGGUAUGUACAGCAGCAAGACAGACAUCUCUGUCCUGUCAGUUCCUAAGUCAAAUCCAAGACGUCUUGCAAGAGCUCUGCUGGGGACACAGAACACAUUCCAGGAAAGGAUAAACAUUUUACAACUUUACAGCUGGUCAUAGCUUGGGGUAGGCUAACACAGAGUACAUCUGCUAAGUACAAGAUCACCCAACACCACAAAGUACUGGGGGGAAUGAAGAAAUACCUGUUUUAGAUAUUAUUCAGAAGAGACUA